UUUGAAGUCCAAAGAAAUUUUAUUUAACUCAAACCAGCAUCAAGCAAACUGUCUAAACCAGGAGACAAAAGUUCAUUGUAGCAAUCCAGAAAACAUGAAAUUCUUGCCAUCAAGUGGGCAAUUCUUUUUGCUUGCUAACAUAGUGAACAAAUACAUUAUCAAAGUCUGCUAAUAUGUCAAAACAGAAUCUGUCUCUAUACUUACAUCAGUGAGUUGUUGAGAAAAGAUGCUUCUACUUGAAAAGCUGAUACAUUCCCUCAUGAUUUUUCCUUGGAGAAAUGAUCCAGAAUGGUCCCCAAGAACCAUACCAACGUGCUCCUACAUACCUUGAGCUUGCCAACAGGAGGUACCACCUAUCUUUGACUUUCGGUUUGUGUUCUAGAAUUCAUCCCAGAUGGCUUACCAACUUGUUUAAUCCUAGCUUUGUGCCAUUUCUGUAAUCAUAUUCCGGCACCAGUCCAUCGCAUCUCUCACACUGGCACUUUUAUUCUCCCAGACCAUCAUGUUUCUAAAUGUCCCCAUGGCUCUGUAGCUAGGAAGCACGGACUCUUCGUUUUGGCUGCCGUAUGCGAGUCGGACUCUCCCGACUCUCCGACUCGGCCCCGACUCUCUUUAGUGCGUAUCGGACUCGCCACGUGGCGAGUCGGCAAGAAAACAGCAGUGGACUCGCCACUGACUCGGGGGCGACACGCUUUGGACUCGACCCAAAUAGAAAAAGC
rnacentral:lncRNA from 1 species